rnacentral:misc_RNA from 1 species
UUAAGUUCAGCGGGUAUUCCUACCCGAUCCGAGGUCAACCUUAAUCAAAUUUCGAUUGAAAUUCGUGGAGUUUUGACGGCGUGGUCCCGUCCCAUCGGUAGCGAGAAGUGUGUCACAACGCUAAGACGGGCGACGGCCAGCCGGUGAAAUUGAGGCGCGGGGGACCCCGACGCCCAAUACCAAGCCAGGCUUGAUUGGAU